UACGAGUGCCCCAAGCGUUAUCCGGAAUCAUUGGGCGUAAAGGGUGUGUAGGCGGUUGGGUUAGUCUUGUGUUAAAAUUCCCGGCUUAACUGGGAAAUCGCACGGGAAACGGCACAACUAGAGGAUGCGAGGGGUCUGUAGAACUCAUGGAGUAGGGGUGAAAUCCGUUGAUAUCAUGGGGAAUACCAAAAGCGAAGGCAGCAGACUGGCGCACUCCUGACGCUGAAACACGAAAGCGUGGGUAGCGAAUGGG
rnacentral:rRNA from 1 species